rnacentral:miRNA from 10 species
GAGCCGCAGCGAGCGCCAUGUGUUGUCUGACCCCUGACCCCGCCCCCUCCGCCCCGCCGGGCGGCGUCACCGACGC